CAUGCAAGUCAGGGAGAAAGAGGUAGUAAUAUCUUAAGUAAACCGGCGGACGGGUGAGUAACACGUAGGUAACCUGCCCUCAGGUGGGGAAUAACCCCGCGAAAGCGGGGCUAAUACCGCAUAAUGCAAUGAAGUCGCAUGGCUUUGUUGUUAAAGUUUCGCGCAAGCGGAACGCCAGAGGAUGGACCUGCGGCCGAUUAGCUAGUUGGCGGGGUAAUGGCCCACCAAGGCAACGAUCGGUAGCCGACCUGAGAGGGUGAUCGGCCACACUGGGACUGAGAUACGGCCCAGACUCCUACGGGAGGCAGCAGUGAGGAAUAUUGGUCAAUGGCCGAAAGGCUGAACCAGCAACGCCGCGUGAGGGAUGAAGAUUUAAGGAUCGUAAACCUCUGUUGGGAGGGACGAAUAGUUCCAUAGUAAACCUAUGGGAUUUGACG
rnacentral:rRNA from 1 species